AGAAAGUGGUGUAGCGGAAGCACUAAGA
rnacentral:tRNA from 1 species